AAGCAUAUCACUGAGCGCAGGAGAAGAAACUAACCAGGAUUUCCCUAGUAACGGCGAGCGAACCGGAAAGAGCCCAGCUUGAAAAUCGUGGCGCCCCGGCGCCUCGAAUUGUAGUCUGGAGAAGGUCCCUCUGCGGCGCGCCGGAUUCAAGUUCCCUGGAAUGGGACGUCCGAGAGGGUGAGAACCCCGUCGUAUCCGGAGUGCGUCGCUCCACGAGGACCUGUCUGCGAGUCGGGCUGUUUGGGAAUGCAGCCCUAAGCGGGUGGUAAAUUCCAUCCAAGGCUAAAUAUUGGCAAGAGACCGAUAGCGAACAAGUACCGCGAGGGAAAGAUGAAAAGGACUUUGAAAAGAGAGUUAAAAAGUGCUUGAAAUUGCUGGGAGGGAAGCGAAUGGAAGCUGCGGGUGCGCCCCGGUUGGAUGUGGAACGGCCGUCAAACGCUGGUCCGCCGCUCAACGCGGGGCGCUGGUCAGCGUGGGCCGUCGCGGCGGGACAAGAGCGGGGAUUCGCUUCCCGCCGAUGCCGCCGCGGUGGCCGAGGAACGAAGCGCGCGCCUUCCGGCGUGGGACUCGUCCCAACUGCGCGCUCGAGACGCUGGCGUAUUGAGCUCUUCAUCCGACCCGUCUUGAAACACGGACCAAGGAGUCUAACAUGUAUGCGAGCCGGUGGGCGGCAAACCCAUUGAGGCGCAAGUAACCUGACAGGUGGGACCCCGACCGCAAGGGAGGGAGCACCAUCGACCGACCGUGAUCUUCUGUGAAGGGUUC
rnacentral:rRNA from 1 species